rnacentral:rRNA from 1 species
GAUGAACGCUGGCGACAGGCUUAACACAUGCAAGUCGAGGGGAAACGACGGGGAAUCUUUCUUCCCCGGGUGGCGACCGGCGCACGGGUGAGUAACGCGUAUCCAACCUGCCUCUGACUGAGGGAUAACCCGACCAAAGUCGGCCUACUACCACAUGGUAUCGUCUGCGGGCAUCCAACGACGAUUAAAGAUUUCAUCGGUCAGGGAUGGGGAUGCGUCUGAUUAGCUUGUUGGCUGAGUAACGGCCCACCAAGGCCACGAUCAGUAGGCGUACUGGGAGGAAGGUCCCCCACAAUGGGAGUGAGGCUCCGUCCAAACACGUGCGGGAGGCAGCAGUAAGGUAUAUUGGUCAGUGGGCGAGAGCCUGAGCCAGCCAACUAGCGUGCAGGAAGUCUGCCCUUUGUGUAGUUAUCUGCUUUUAGGCGGGGAAAAGGUGAGGGACGUGUCCCUGAUUGCAGGUACCGCAUUAAUAAGGACCGGCUUAUUCCGUG